ACCUCCAUCAUCUCUUCUAAUGAAGUUCCCUUCUUGCCAAAGGGAGAGGGUGCAUUAAGUGCUUCAGGGAAUGGAGCCUUUGGAAUGUGGGUUGUGGCAGAUGGUGGACUAGCUGAAGAAGGUUUUGGGUUUUCAUGUGAUACAUUCUUCUCUUCUUCUUUUCCUUCCUUAUUGUUACCCUCCCCAACCUUAUUAUCUAUUAUACGUCCACUCCUUAGGGUAGUCAAAGCAUUGGCUUGCUCAUGAUUUAGUUGAGUUUCUUGAGCCACGUAUUGUCCCCUAGGAUUACUCAUUGGUUGACUUGGAAGUUUACCUUCCUCUCGCUUGUUUAAUGCAUUAGCUAGUUGACCCAUUUGGGAUUCUAGCUUAGCAAUUGAUUGCGUGUGAGAGUGCAAUAGUUGUGUGUUUGCCUCCAAACCUUGAAGGGCAGUCAACACCUUCUCCUCAAAGGCUGUAUUUCUUUGGGUUGGAGGAGGAGGAUGCUGAAAUUGAGUGGAGGGACGGUAGAGAUGGAAAUUCUGAGGGUUUUGAAAAUUUUGGGAGAAGGGUUGGGAGGUAUUAGAAGCUUGCUGCCUCCAAGAAAAAUUUGGAUGAUUCCGCCAUCCCGGAUUAUAUGUAUUGGAAAAUGGAUCAUUACCCGGUCUGGGCUGUGUUUGGGCAGCAUUGAUGUGUUCUUGCACGAGUUCGAGAUAUUGGGGUGCUGAGG
rnacentral:lncRNA from 1 species